rnacentral:Y_RNA from 1 species
GGCUGGUCCGAAGGUAGUGAGUUAUCUCAAUUGAUUGUUCACAGUCAGUUACAGAUUGAACUCCUGUUCUACACUCUCCCCCCUUCUCACUACUGCACUUGACUAGUCUUUU